UACGGAGGGCGCGAGCGUUAUUCGGAAUCAUUGGGCGUAAAGCGCGUGUAGGCGGCUGUGCAAGUCGGGUGUGAAAGCCCGGGGCUCAACCCCGGAAUUGCAUUCGAAACUGCACAGCUAGAGUCUCGGAGAGGAGGGCGGAAUUCCCGGUGUAGAGGUGAAAUUCGUAGAUAUCGGGAGGAACACCAGUGGCGAAGGCGGCCCUCUGGACGAUGACUGACGCUGAGACGCGAAAGCGUGGGGAGCAAACAGG
rnacentral:misc_RNA from 1 species